rnacentral:piRNA from 1 species
UCUGUGGAAUUUACUAUACACUCCAGCCU